UACGUAGGGUGCAAGCGUUGUCCGGAAUUAUUGGGCGUAAAGAGCUCGUAGGCGGCUUGUCGCGUCGGCUGUGAAAACCUGGGGCUCAACCCCGGGCCUGCAGCCGAUACGGGCAAGCUAGAAUUCGGUAGGGGAGACUGGAAUCCCUGGUGUAGCGGUGAAAUGCGCAGAUAUCAGGAGGAACACCGGUGGCGAAGGCGGGUCUCUGGGCCGAUAUUGACGCUGAGGAGCGAAAGCGUGGGGAGCGAACAGG
rnacentral:rRNA from 1 species